rnacentral:rRNA from 1 species
UUCCGGUGAUCCUGCCGGAGGCAACUGCUAUGGGGUUCGGCUAAGCCAUGCGAGCGGAGGGCGCGGUCGAAAGAUCGUGGCCCCGCACACGGCUCAGCAACACGUAGUCAACCUACCCUUGGGACGGGGACAACCUCGGGAAACUGAGGCUAAUCCCCGAUAGGCGAGGGACGCUGGGAUGCCCUCUCGCCCAAAGCUCUGGCGCCCAAGGACGGGACUGCGACCUAUCAGGCUGUUGGUGGUGUUACGGACCACCAAACCUACGACGGGUACGGGCGAUGGGAGUCGGAGCCCGGAGAUGGGGACUGAGACAAGGCCCCAGGCCCUACGGGGCGCAGCAGGCGCGAAAACUCCGCAAUACGUGCAAGCGUGACGGGGGAAUCCCAAGUGCCGUUGGUCUUUUGAUCGACGGCUUUUCGGAAGUUUAAGACGCUUCCGGAAUAAGGGCUGGGUAAGACUGGUGCCAGCCGCCGCGGUAACACCAGCAGCCCAAGUGGUGGCCACGAUUAUUGGGCCUAAAGCGCUCGUAGCCGGGCCAGCAAGUCCCUUGUGGAAUCGGGCCGCCCAACGGUUCGGCGUGCAAGGGAUACUGUUGGUCUUGAGGCCGGGAGAGGUCAGAGGUACUCCUGGGGUAGCGGUGAAAUGCUCUAAUCCUGGGGGGACCACCAGUGGCGAAGGCGUCCGACCAGAACGGACCUGACGGUGAGGGGCGAAGGCUAGGGGAGCGAACGGGAUUAGAUACCCCGGUAGUCCUAGCUGUAAAGCAUGCGGGCCAGGUGUCUAGCGCUCCUUGAGGGCGCUAGGUGCCGGAGGGAAGCCGUUAAGCCCGCCGCCUGGGAAGUACGGCCGCAAGGCUGAAACUUAAAGAAAUUGGCGGGGGAGCACCACAAGGGGUGGAACCUGCGGUUCAAUUGGAAUCAACGCCGGAA